rnacentral:rRNA from 1 species
UAGAGAGAAGCUUGCUUCUCUUGAGAGCGGCGGACGGGUGAGUAAUGCCUAGGAAUCUGCCUGGUAGUGGGGGAUAGCGUUCGGAAACGGACGCUAAUACCGCAUACGUCCUACGGGAGAAAGCAGGGGACCUUCGGGCCUUGCGCUAUCAGAUGAGCCUAGGUCGGAUUAGCUAGUUGGUGAGGUAAUGGCUCACCAAGGCGACGAUCCGUAACUGGUCUGAGAGGAUGAUCAGUCACACUGGAACUGAGACACGGUCCAGACUCCUACGGGAGGCAGCAGUGGGGAAUAUUGGACAAUGGGCGAAAGCCUGAUCCAGCCAUGCCGCGUGUGUGAAGAAGGUCUUCGGAUUGUAAAGCACUUUAAGUUGGGAGGAAGGGUUGUAGAUUAAUACUCUGCAAUUUUGACGUUACCGACAGAAUAAGCACCGGCUAACUCUGUGCCAGCAGCCGCGGUAAUACAGAGGGUGCAAGCGUUAAU